CCCAGUGGUGGUCCCCCUUGGCAGGCACUGGCGCCAUAGGAGCCUGAGGGUAUCCCAGACUGAAAGCUAAGCAAGGUUGGGUCUGGCUGGGGCUUGGAUGGGGGACCACCUGGGAAGACUGGGAGCUGGAGGCU
ensembl:rRNA 5S_rRNA 5S ribosomal RNA